CGUCAUUCUUUGCUGACAUCUGGAGUCUAUUGUGAAACUGGCAGCCACCAGACAGUUUUUCGUGAAUAUCAUCAGGGAAAAUAAGGAAUGAAAUACAAGAGAGCGUCGUGCAUUACCACCACAGUAUAAACAAAAGAAAUCCAAGUUGCGGGUCUAAUUAAAUGGUUCCUGAGGAGCUCAACAUGGUCAACAGGAGGAACCUAAGCUGAUUAACUCA